UUUUUUUUUUUUUUUUUUUGGUUUUUCGAGACAGGGUUUCUCUGUGUAGCCCUGGCUGUCCUGGAACUCACUCUGUAGACCAGGCUGGCCUUGAACUCAGAAAUCCGCCUCUCUCUGCCUCUGAGUGCUGGGAUUAAAGGCGUGCGCCACCACAUCCGGCUCCACUGCUGCUUUUUUGCUUUUUUUUUUUUUUUUUUAAAUUAAGUUUUAGGCAUGUAUGGGAUAUGUACCACAUUUUAAAUGUGGAGGUCAGAGGACAGACAGCCUCAGGCGUCAGGCCUUGUUUUCUACCUUGAGACAUGGUCUCUUGUUAUUUGCUUCUCUGGACUUGAGGCUUCUGGAAUGUUCCUGUGUUGGCUUCCCUUCUCUCUGUUUGGGUGUGUUGAGACACUUUUCCUACAGUCCACUUGGUAGGGAUCUCAAUCAGGUUGUCGGUAUUAAUGCUGCUUCAAGUACUUUACUAUUGGACCAUUUCUCCAGCCUUAGUUUUUUUGUUUCUCUUUUUUGUUAGUGCUGAAUUUUAGACACUGCAAGGGUCUGAAAAUCACUGAAGGAAGACCCCAGACUCAGAUAAUAUGCAAAGACAAAGAAUGUUUAUUCUGUAGAAAUAACCAGCAUGUGGGGUCAACUAUAUUUUAAAAUGGUGACCCCAGACAAAGGUGUGCAGGCUUUCUUAUAGGAAACUGGGGAAACUCUCUAGAGGGAUUAGGUAAUCUAAAAUUUCACUGGUGGGUUCUAGGGGGAGUCACAAGUGGUCAGUGGUCUGUACGCCUUUGUCAUGAACUUUUAACCAUAGGAUAAGAUAGGACUGUCCUGCUUAGAUGACCCAUCCUGGGAUAAGAUAUUUUCCUAUUCUUGUGGUUAUCCCCAGGCUGUUCUUUGGAUGGGAGUUUUAUAAUCUUGUUCUUUUCCUGGAACUGAUGCCUUAUGGCAGUUCUGGGACUUAUGGUCUGUUCUUGGAGCUGAUGCCUAUGACCUCUUGAAACCAGGGUUGGUCCUUAAAUGGAGACAAAUAGGGUUUAUGUUGUCAUUUCAACACCAGUUUUGAAUUUAGGUCCUUUAAAUUUAAACAUAGUCACAAAAGAAUUUAAUUUUUUAAAUAAUGUAGUCACCACCUUUGUACACAUGCCCUCCAUCCCCAAGAAAUUCUAACUCUUCUGUGAUCACUGUCUAUAAUUCUUAGCCCAGACAAGAAAAUUGCUAAUUCACUUUGUCUGUCACCUGUGUCGGUGUAGGAUGGUUCAUAGGAAAGGAUUCACACAGUACAUGGUCUUUUGCAUUACUGGUAGGAUUCAUUCACGGUGUGUCACGUGCCAAUUCUUUAUUCCUUUUGUUGCUGAGUAAUAUUUGAUGGGAAACAUUGUACUUUAUUUUCUGAUUAAGCCUGCCAAAACCUUGUCAAAUUUUUUUUGUCCUUUGACAGGAAUUAGGAGUAUGGAACCCAGAUUUUUUUUUUUUUCUUUUUUCUUUUUUGGUUUUUUGAGGCACGGUUUCUCUGUGUAGCCCUGGCUGUCCUGGAACUCACUCUGUCGACCAGGCUGGCCUCAAACUCAGAAAUCCGCCUGCCUCUGCCUCCCAAAUGCUGGGACUAAAGGUGUGCGCCACCACUGCCCGGCUGGAACCCAUAUUCUUACCCUUCCUCCUUGUUUCUAGAAUUGGCAGAUGAGCACUAGAGUAAAAGUAGCUCCAGUCUCACAUCCUAGGAGCUCCCUGCUGCCUUCUGCCAGGUGACUUUGAUAUUUUUCUUACUUCUCUUGUUUUCUAGAUAAAUGCUGUUCUGUUCCUAACUGUUGCAUCUGUCUUUGAUUCAAAUAUUUCAGAUCUACUUUUUCAUUACAAUUGACAGACCUGAGUCCCUUUGCUGAAAAGAAGUGGUCAGUGCAGAGUGUGUUUGUGUCCUCUGUAAUUAGCCAAUCAUUGGUGAACCUUUUCUCUUAGCCUUCUGUCCUGUUCUACUGAAGUUCAGUGUUUGGUAGGUCUGAGCCACUGUGGCAAGUAGGUGCUCUCAGAUAAGGUAACAGUGGGUGAAUUUAUGCUGUCUGCUAUUUGUCAGGGAACUUCCAUAGCUUUUCUUGUUUGCAGUCUAAACAUGUGAAUCGAUCCAGUGUUUAAAAGUACAUUGUGCUGGGGCCGGACGUGGUAGCGCAUGCUUUUAAUCCCAGCACUCGGGAGGCAGAGGCAGGUAGAUUUCUGAGUUCGAGGCCAGCCUGGUCUACAAAGUGAGUUCCAGGACAGCCAGGGCUACACAGAGAAACCCUGUCUUGGGGGGAAAAAAUGGAUUGUACUUGUUUCAAAGAAUGUAAACGUUGACAUAUUUAGGUCCUGAGGUUUUUGGCUCUUAGCAACUGAGUAUCUUUAUUAUACUAUGUUUAGUUUGUAUGGGACAAUAAUGUUUUCAUUUUUUUUUUUUUUUUUAAUUUAUAUGAGUAUACUGUAGCUGUCUUCAGACACACCAGAAGAAGGCAUCAGAUCCCAUUACAGAUGGUUAGGAGCCACCAUGUGGUUGCUGGGAAUUAAACUCAGGACCUCUGGAAGAACAGCCAGUGCUCUUAACCAUAGAGCCUCUAGGGGUCAUGCCUGGGUUUGGGGCCAGUCAGGAGAGGGAUGUGGAGAAGUUUUGUGUGGGAAGGCUCUUAGCAACUAACUGAGUAUUUUAUUAUACUAUGUUUAGUAUAAUAAUUAGUAUAAUAAAAAAUUGAAAAUUUUAUGAUGAAUAAGAUUCCAUGGUUUUAUUUAUUUCUUUAUUUCUUUCUUUAUUUAUUUUUAUUAAUAUCAUUAAGGCAGGGUCUUACUAUAUUACUCAGGCUGGUUUCAUUGUGACUCUGUGGCUAGGUUAACCUUGAACUCUACAUUUUCCUGUUUCAGUUUCCUUACUGCUGGUAUUACAGGUGUGCAGCACCAUGCUUGGCCAAGAAUCC
rnacentral:lncRNA from 1 species